rnacentral:rRNA from 1 species
AACAUUGGACAAUGGGUGAAAGCGUGAUACAGCGACGCCGCGUGUGUGAGGAUGGUCUUCGGAUUGUUAUGCACUUUAUGUUGGGUGGAAGGCCAGUAAUCGAAUACCUUGCUGUUUUGAUGUUACCGACAGAAUACGCACCGGCUACCUCUCUACCAGCAGCCGCGGUAAUACAGAGGCUGCAAGCGUUAAUCGGAAUUACUGGGCGUAAAGCGCGCGUAGGUGGUUCGUUAAGUUGGAUGUGAAAUCCCCGGGCUCAACCUGGGAACUGCAUCCAAAACUGGCGAGCUAGAGUAGGGCAGAGGGUGGUGGAAUUUCCUGUGUAGCGGUGAAAUGCGUAGAUAUAGGAAGGAACACCAGUGGCGAAGGCGACCACCUGGGCUCAUACUGACACUGAGGUGCGAAAGCGUGGGGAGCAAACA